rnacentral:rRNA from 1 species
GAUGAACGCUGGCGGCGUGCUUAACACAUGCAAGUCGAACGAAGACAUCUGAGUGCUUGCACUUGGAUGGACUGAGUGGCGGACGGGUGAGUAACGCGUGGGUAACCUGCCUUAUACAGGGGGAUAACAGUUGGAAACGACUGCUAAUACCGCAUAAGCGCACGGUAUCGCAUGAUACAGUGUGAAAAACUCCGGUGGUAUAAGAUGGACCCGCGUCUGAUUAGCUUGUUGGUGAGGUAACGGCCCACCAAGGCGACGAUCAGUAGCCGACUUGAGAGAGUGAUCGGCCACAUUGGGACUGAGACACGGCCCAAACUCCUACGGGAGGCAGCAGUAGGGAAUAUUGCACAAUGGGGGAAACCCUGAUGCAGCGACGCCGCGUGAAGGAAGAAGUAUUUCGGUAUGUAAACUUCUAUCAGCAAGGAAGAAAAUGACGGUACUUGACUAAGAAGCCCCGGCUAAAUACGUG